rnacentral:rRNA from 1 species
UAUAAUCUGUCCAGUGAGNNNUAAUUUAAACGGCUAUAAUUNNNAUAUUAAAGUAGCGUAAUAAUUUGUCAUCUAAUUAAUGAAUAUAAUGAAGAUUAUAUGAAUUAAAUACUGUCUCUAAAAUAUAAAACAAAAUUAAUAAUUUAGUGAAAAAUCUUAAUUAUUUUUAAAAGACGACAAGACCCUAUAGAACUUAUUUAAAAUUUNUAAAUUUACUGGGGAAGUAAAAAUAAAAACAAAAUUAUUU